GAUGAACGCUGGCGGCGUGCCUAAUACAUGCAAGUCGAGCGAACAGACGAGAGUGCUUGCACUCUCUGACGUUAGCGGCGGACGGGUGAGUAACACGUUGGUAACCUACCUAUAAGACUGGUAUAACUUCGGGAAACCGGAGCUAAUACCGGAUAAUAUUUAGCUUCGCAUGAAGCAAUAGUGAAAGACGGUUCUUCUGUCUCUUAUAUAUUGACCCACGGUGUAUUAGCUAGUUGGUGAGGUAACGGCUCACCAAGGCAACGAUACAUAGCCGACCUGAGAGGGUGAUCGGCCAGACUGGGACUGAGACACGGCCCAGACUCCUACGGGAGGCAGCAGUAGGGAAUCUUCCGCAAUGGACGAAAGUCUGACGGAGCAAUGCCGCGUGAGUGAAGAAGGUUUUCGGAUCGUAAAACUCUGUUGUAAGGGAAGAACAAGUACGUUAGUAACUGAACGUACCUUGACGGUACCUUACCAGAAAGCCACGGCUAACUACGUG
rnacentral:rRNA from 1 species